rnacentral:tRNA from 1 species
GCCCGGGUGGCGGAACUGGUAGACGCAAGGGACUUAAAAUCCCUCGGUACUGAGUACUGUGCGGGUUCGAUUCCCGCCCCGGGCACCA